AUACGGAGGGGGCUAGCGUUGUUCGGAAUUACUGGGCGUAAAGCGCGCGUAGGCGGAUUGAUCAGUCAGGGGUGAAAUCCCGAGGCUUAACCUCGGAACUGCCUCUGAUACUGUCAAUCUUGAGUUCGAGAGAGGUGAGUGGAAUUCCUAGUGUAGAGGUGAAAUUCGUAGAUAUUAGGAAGAACACCAGUGGCGAAGGCGGCACACUGGCUCGAUACUGACGCUGAGGUGCGAAAGCGUGGGGAGCAAACAGGAUUAGAAACCCCAGUAGUCC
rnacentral:rRNA from 1 species